rnacentral:rRNA from 1 species
UGCGAGCGUGACGGCGCGAGCAGGUGCGAAAGCAGGUCAUAGUGAUCCGGUGGUUCUGAAUGGAAGGGCCAUCGCUCAACGGAUAAAAGGUACUCCGGGGAUAACAGGCUGAUACCGCCCAAGAGUUCAUAUCGACGGCGGUGUUUGGCACCUCGAUGUCGGCUCAUCACAUCCUGGGGCUGAAGUAGGUCCCAAGGGUAUGGCUGUUCGCCAUUUAAAGUGGUACGCGAGCUGGGUUUAGAACGUCGUGAGACAGUUCGGUCCCUAUCUGCCGUGGGCGCUGGAGAACUGAGGGGGGCUGCUCCUAGUACGAGAGGACCGGAGUGGACGCAUCACUGGUGUUCGGGUUGUCAUGCCAAUGGCACUGCCCGGUAGCUAAAUGCGGAAGAGAUAAGUGCUGAAAGCAUCUAAGCACGAAACUUGCCCCGAGAUGAGUUCUCCCUGACUCCUUGAGAGUCCU